CUCGGAGGGGGGGUGGUCCCUCAGCCGGAUUGCGAGAAGGCGCAGGCCAGGAUGAGGGACCCCACCUGUGCAUG
rfam:Myotis lucifugus cont2.2869, whole genome shotgun sequence.